UCCGGUUGAUCCUGCCAGAGGCUACUGCUAUCGGGGUUCGAUUAAGCCAUGCGAGUUAAAUGUUCUUCGUGAACAUAGCGAACUGCUCAGUAACACGUGGAUAACCUACCCUUAGGACCGGAAUAACCCCGGGAAACUGGGGAUAAUACCGGAUAAGCCAUAGACGCUGGAAUGCCCUAUGGUUCAAAGCUCCGGCGCCUAAGGAUGGAUCUGCGGUCUAUCAGGUUGUAGUGGGUGUAACGUACCUACUAGCCGACGACGGAUACGGGUUGUGAGAGCAAGAGCCCGGAGAUGGAUUCUGAGACACGAAUCCAGGCCCUACGGGGUGCAGCAGGCGCGAACACUUUACAAUGCGGGAAACCGCGAUAAGGGAACCCCGAGUGCCAGCAUCAAAUGUUGGCUGUCCAGAUGAUUAAAAAUCAUUUGUUAGCAAGGGCCGGGCAAGACCGGUGCCAGCCGCCGCGGUAACACCGGCGGCCCGAGUGGUAGCCGUUUUUAUUGGGUCUAAAGGGUCCGUAGCCGGCCUGAUAAGUCCUUUGGGAAAUCUGGCAGCUUAACUGUCAGGCUUCUAAGGGAUACUGUCAGGCUUGGGACCGGAAGAGGUAAGGGGUACUCCAGGGGUAGGAGUGAAAUCUUGUAAUCCCUGGGGGACCAUCUGUGGCGAAGGCGCCUUACCAGAACGGGUCCGACGGUGAGGGACGAAAGCUAGGGGAGCAAACCGGAUUAGAUACCCGGGUAGUCCUAGCUGUAAACGAUGCUCGCUAGGUGUCAGACACGGUGCGACCGUGUUUGGUGCCGCAGGGAAGCCGUUAAGCGAGCCACCUGGGAAGUACGGUCGCAAGGCUGAAACUUAGAGGAAUUGGCGGGGGAGCAC
rnacentral:rRNA from 1 species